rnacentral:rRNA from 1 species
AUUGAACGCUGGCGGCAGGCCUAACACAUGCAAGUCGAGCGGAUGAGGAGAGCUUGCUCUUCGAUUCAGCGGCGGACGGGUGAGUAAUGCCUAGGAAUCUGCCUGGUAGUGGGGGACAACGUUUCGAAAGGAACGCUAAUACCGCAUACGUCCUACGGGAGAAAGCAGGGGACCUUCGGGCCUUGCGCUAUCAGAUGAGCCUAGGUCGGAUUGGCUAGUUGGUGAGGUAAUGGCUCACCAAGGCGACGAUCCGUAACUGGUCUGAGAGGAUGAGAAUGCACACUGGAACUGAGACACGGUCCAGACUCCUACGGGAGGCAGCAGUGGGGAAUAUUGGACAAUGGGCGAAAGCCUGAUCCAGCCAUGCCGCGUGUGUGAAGAAGGUCUUCGGAUUGUAAAGCACUUUAAGUUGGGAGGAAGGGCAGUAAGUUUAUACCUUGCUGUUUUGACGUUACCGACAGAAUAAGCACCGGCUAACUCUGUGCCAGCAGCCGCCGUAACAC